rnacentral:rRNA from 1 species
CUGCACCAACUGAGGCCUAUUAAGCGUGUUGCUUUUGAAGGGCCUGUAACAGGAAGGCGUUUCUAUGGCUGCCCAGUCCAGGAAAAUGGUGUGAAUUGUGGUGUUGUAGAGUGGGUUGAUGGGCCUUGGCCAACUGUUCUUCAGAGAUGUUUGUGCAAACUAUGGGAGAUGUUCCAUGAGCAGAACUUUGGAAGGGUACAGGACAAGGAGAAGUUUGAGAAGGAGUUGGCCAGGCUUAAGACUGAAAAUGACAAGCUUUGCAUUGAGUACACCAAGCUUGUUGAUGAUGUAUCCAAGAUGUUUGAUUGGCAGGAUGGUAGGGUGGACAAGAAGGUGUACCAGAAACAAGUGGAGGAGGAAGAACUUGAGAAGAAGAAGAAGGAGUUAGAUGAGAAAGCUAUGUUGGAGGUGCAGAUGGAAAAGCUCAAACUUGCAAAAGAGCAGAGGUGCAUUUUGCAGAGCCAAGCUGAUAUCAUCAAGAACACCAGGAAGGCUAUGAAGGCUGUUGAAGUUGACAGAGAUGUUCUUAAGAAGGAGAAGGCAAAGCUUGAGCUUGUGGUUGCUGAGCUGCUGAAAGAAGGGUAUGGCAGCAAGGAGAAGUUAGAGCAAAUCAAGGCCAUCCUUGAGUCUUGA